UCUCUCUCUCGCCAUCUCUGUCCGAGCUCUCUCUGUCGCUGCUCCUCGCCAUGGGUCGUCGCCGCUUCUCUGCUCCUCGCCGUGGGUUGCCGCUUUUCUGCUCCUCGCCGUGGGUCGUUGCUGCUUCUCCCCUCAUCUUCGUUUCUGCUUCUCUGCUCCGCACUGUGUCUCGCCGUCGUUGCUUCUCUUCGUGUGGAGUUUCUAGUCUCUGCUACAACCCUCUCAGGUCUCAAGUCUCUUCUUCUCUGCUUCAAGCCUUCAACCCUCUCAGGUCCCAAGUUUCAGUCUCUAACUCUCCCUGAUUCUAUCUCCCUGACUCUAUAACUUUGAAAUUUGAAAUUUAUUCUGAACAUGCAUAUGAUGUAUUAUUGAUGAUUCUGCUGGAUUUUGAGAUAUUAAUGUUUUGAAUUUUUAUUUGAAUUCUGUCCGUUGAUCUUGAAUUAAUUCUGCUGAGAUUGAGUUAUAAAUUCAAUUGUAUAAUUUAUUUAUUCUGCUGAGAUUGAUUUUUAAAUCCAAUAUUUUAUAUUUGUUUUGGUGAAUUGUUGUUUUGCUGUUAUUGAUUCAAAAUCAAAACAGUGCCACAAUUCUGCAUUGAAAUUACUAUAUGGCUUCCUAUGAUUUGGUUGAGUAUGAUUCUUAGGUUGGGUAUCUGUUUUGGAUGUUCUGAAGAGUGACUUGAUUGAUUUACAGAAGUUCACAUAUGGGAGAGUUAAUUUUUUAAAAAAAUUAUUUUAUAUUUAAUUAAAUCAGUUGAAUCCCGGUUGAACCAGUAAAUCAUUAAACCAAUUACUUAACCGGUUCUCGCAACCUUGGUUUUUAUUUGUUGUGCAUCUGUUAUACUGAGUUACAUAUUUUUUAAACACAUCUAUAUUUGGAUAAUCCCUCAACUACCUUUAGUUAUUUCAUUGUUAGAUCACACAUAAUAUGCUCAACUAGCUGUAUCUAUGAUAAAAUAGUGUUGAAGUUUCUGGUGUUUUCAUGAUAGGUUGAAUGGUUGAUCUAAAUAGAGCAGGGCACCUUUGCUUGAGAUAGUUUCCGAGCCUUAUAUAAAAACCGGUAUUGAAGCAGUAGAGCAUGCAACAGAAAUACGGAGAUUGGUUCGGCAUUUGGGAGUGAUCAAUGGCAAUAUGAAAACUUUCUCUAUACUAACAGUUCGUGGGUGUCUUAAGUAUCUAAAUCUACUACCAGCAAAAGUACAUAAUUCAAGUCCCCCAAACAUAUAUCACCAACGUAGAAAGUGCAAAUGUAUGGACCACUCGCAAAUUAACUUUUUCAUACUAAGCAUAAUAUGUAUUUGUGUGGACUUGGCAUUUAUACAUAUAUUUUUUCCCUCUAAUUUUGGUUAACUUAAUUAUGACUUGAUGCCUAAAAGAUUGAAAGUCUCAAUAUUUAUUCUUAAGCUUUUGAAUAUCACAAAUUGUAUUGCAGGGUCAGCAGGCAGUACACUAAAAUUUUGGGAUUUAGAAUCCUUUGAACUGAUUGGAUCUACUAAACAAGAGGUUUCUCAUUUAGUGUCGUGUGAGUCAUGGUGUUAGCAAUAGCAAUUAUUGGUGGUUUGGAUUGUGCAGUUUCUCUCUUUUAAAUGUUCUUAGUGUGCAUUAUUUUCUUUUUUCUGGUUCACCCCAUGAUGUACAAGCACACAUAUAGUAGAGGUCAUGGUUCUCUAUGAAUUUUGGUAGAUGUUUUUGCUUAAUGUUUCCUUUAUGGUUCCUUUUUUAUAUGUUGAUUUUACUAAAAUUAUUUGAGAUCUGAUUUCUAACAACCAGAACUUACCAACAAUAGAAAUGGGCACAUUACCAGACAGCAAAGCUGCAAAGGCUUCUCGAUAGUGCAAUAUGAAGACAAGAUCCAUGGGUGUGAAGAAUUCCACUAAGAAAACUAUUAGAAGGAAUCACAAAUAAGUGGGCCAUGAACUUCUCAAAAAACUUGCUUAUGUGACUGAUAAAUUUGAUAGGAAAUCCCUCGAACAAUUACAGGAUUCUGCACCACAAUUCCUAAUGAUUUUAGAUUCAGAAAAAUUAAGCUCUCUUUCCCAUACGUUUUUUUAUCCACUUAGUCAUUUAUCAAUUUAUUCUAUGGUUGAAAUCAUAAUUGUGAAUUUCUGACACCUGAUAGUGGAUUUUGUAUACUUUAUUCUCCAAUUGGUUUCUUUUUAUAUUAAUGGUAUGUAUCAAUUGCUUCACAACAUUAGUAUUUGGUAUUCUUCUUUCAGUUGUUAUGUUUUAGUUGGAUGAGGUGGAUCUGGCUGAUGCAAAGUUUGAAUAUUUAUGGUUUGGAGUGCAUAUAUAUAUAUUUUUUU